CACCGCGGUUAUACGAGAGACCCUAGUUGAUAUACACGGCGUAAAAAGUGGUUAAGGGUAACAAAAACUAAAGCCAAAGACCCUCCUAGCCGUCGCACGCACUCCGAGGGCACGAAACCCAAACACGAAAGUAGCUUUAUAACCAAGCCUGACCCCACGAAAGCUAAGAAA
rnacentral:rRNA from 1 species